rnacentral:lncRNA from 1 species
GCAGGCAUUUGCAAGGAAGAACUGAGAGACCAGACAGUGAUUUGUUUUUUCUUUCUACAUCAGCACAGUUUUAGAAAUUAGAUAAUUGUGAAUGUGUAGACUGGGCACUAGAUUCAGUGACAAAUCUGAGAAAGGAAUCCUGAUUACUUACUGCAAGUCACAGAAUCCUGUGAUGUGGAUCUAAUUAUUUUGAAGCAAAUCUCCCAGUAGGAUUUAGAAGGAUACCUAAUAUGGUACAGUUUCCAACACACAUUCAGUUCAUGGAACCAGACAACAGCUACUCCAAAAAGAAAUACUAGUGUCAAGAUUACCGAAGCUGUGUUUGGAAGGAAAAGUUCACUUCUUCAUAAACGGUGUUGAAGAGAUGUGUUAUCUUUCUCAGGUAAUACUGUUGUGAUAAAAAUUCUUGUCUAUGACAGCUGGGCUACUCCAGAAUAAUACAUUGUGAGAGAAGUGGGAGAACUCUUCAAG